CGCCUUGCCACGCCGCUCAGAACUUAAAUGAAUUGACGGGGCCCGCACAAGCGGUGGAGCAUGUGGUUUUAAUUCGAUGAUACGCGAGGAACCUUACCUGGGCUCAAAUGUAUGUUGACGUAUUCUGAAAGGGAUACUUCUUCGGACAAUAUACAAGGUGCUGCAUGGUUGUCGUCAGCUCGUGCCGUGAGGUGUCGGGUUAAGUCCCAUAACGAGCGCAACCCCUACCUUUAGUUGCCAUCAGGUAAUGCUGGGGACUCUAAAGGAACUGCCUACGCAAGUAGUGAGGAAGGCGGGGAUGACGUCAAAUCAGCACGGCCCUUACGUCCAGGGCUACACACGUGCUACAAUGGCCGAUACAGAGGGCAGCUACCUGGUGACAGGAUGCAAAUCUCCAAAGUCGGUCUCAGUUCGGAUCGGAGUCUGCAACCCGACUCCGUGAAGUUGGAUUCGCUAGUAAUCGCGCAUCAGCCAUGGCGCGGUGAAUACGUUCCCGGGCCUU
rnacentral:rRNA from 1 species